GGGUAGCCCACCACUUAUAGUGGCAGAGUGGCAGAGUAUCUGCUCGGCAUGCGGAAGGCCCUGGGUUCAAUCCCCGGUGUCUCCA
rnacentral:tRNA from 1 species